GUUCCCCACUUCCUACUUAGGCUUUUAGGAAUGCAAAUAUAGCCUUUUACCUCCCUAUUACCGGACUCUCCCUAUGGUGCAAGUUCAUCUAACUACAUGCUCAAACUGGAAAGUCAACUUGAGAAUUAACAGUUGAUUUAUAAACCAAGCAUGCCCACUGUGGGAACUCUCACUCUUUAGGGGGUUGUCUCAAGAGAUAACAGCCUGCCCAUGAAGGUGCCAGCAGUCACAAGCUGAUUGCCCAGUAGAUAAGGCACAAGAGCUAGCAUGGACCCCCCGACCACCCUUGCUCACUUCCUCCCCUGCCUUUUAAAAGUGAAGCCAUAUGGAGGACACCUGCAUUUCUUCCCCUAAGCUAGUUUUGGAAAUAAAUUACUUUCUUCAUACCAGACUUCACUUUUGUUAAUUGGAUUCUGCGAGCAACAAGCAACUAACCUGCAUUUUGGUUACAUUACCAUGUUUUAGGUGGGACAAACUUCUAAUAUUUCAAAUGUAACACAAAUAUCAAACCAGAAAGGACUUUAUUUAGGAACCAAACCCAGUCUGCCAUAGUGGCAAAAGGGCAGAACCUUAGCUACUGAACUACAGCAUGGGGCAAUCACUAUUGCUCUUUCAGUUCGGCUUGGCUAGCAAAGGGUUGUUUUGUUAUGUAAAUAAAGCCCUUCAGGUAACUGAAAUCUUUCUUGUUUUGAUGGCUGAUUUGUCUUUUUUUGUCUUUUUUUUCCCAGCUUCAGGAAUUUAGCCAGUUCAGAGGUCUUGUUCCCCAUAAUUUAGAACUUUCCUUCAGGUUUGACCAAAUCAACUAGAGUGGUCAAACCCAAUGGAAAAAAGACUAAAACAACAAAAACAGAACCAAACAAAUAAACAACAACAAAAAAGUAAAGCAAAACAAAUGAUUGCACAAUUUAUAAGAUUACUGAGCACUCUAAUGGUAAGGAGAAAUCAAGACCAGCUGGUAGUUUAAUCUUAACUUUCAGUCAUUAAGGAGAAUUUCCAAGACAAACUCCAUUUCAGCUACUUAUGUAGGAAUAAGGCCCAGGUUGAAGACUGCUCUCUAUCAUCCUAGAAGCAGGAAAAAAACUCAAAACUCAUCUUCCCUGUUGGAAGCAAGCUGAAAUUCCAGAAAGUAGUUGCUUGCUUUCCAUUAUCAUGGAUUCAGAAAAACUCAUCUUUGUUGCAUGCAAGUAAAACUCCAGAAAAGGAGUUGAACAGCAAAAGAAACCUUAGAUCUCAACAACAUUUUGAGAAAUCAGGGAUUCUCUGGAGAUGGUACCUCCCAGGCCUCAGCAAAUUGUCCUGUUGGUUUUGUUACUGGCAGCAAAUCCAUACGGGUCUGCAGCAAUCUCAAUUCUUGCCUUCUCAGAAGAAAGAAUUCGACUGAGGGGCAUACGGCAGAGUGAAAGAUUGAGGCAAGUUUUAGAGCCAAGAGUAAAAGUGUAUUAGAAAGCUUUAGAGCUGGAACUGAAGAAAGUAAAGUCCACUUGAAAGAGGGCCAAGUGGGUGACUUGAGAGAUCAAGUUCAUGGUUUGAUCUUUGACUUGGGGUUUCAUACAUUGGCAUGCCUCUCGGGGCGGGGGUGUGGUUUGCAUCCCUUCUCCCUUGAUUUUUCCGUUGCGGUGGGCUGUCCACGUGCACAGUGGCCUGCCAGCACUUGGAAGGGGCAACAUACACAUUGUGUUUACCAAAAUUGUACACACGCUCACUUAAGGCAUUCGUCCCUUACCAGCCAAGUGUUCCUGGAGAAAGGUUAUAUACUGGUUCAACUCUGCCAUUUUGCCUGUUAGUGCACAUGCUUAAGUCCACUAGCCCAACUCCUGAGAUCUUAUUGGGAAGCUGCUGAUUACCAACUUGAGGUGUUUUUAUUGGGAGGCUGCCUUUCCCUGGCACCAGCUGCAACCAAUUAUUAUUUUCAAGAGGCAGUUUAACAACCUCCUGACCAUCAUCUGAUGGUUGCCUGACAUUCCUGGGCUACGUUCCUUCUCCUGCCCUAUUCAUGUCUGACUAAUUACCUAUUGUAACAGUUUGAACAAUAAAGAUAGCUCAAGGCCAGACAUGGUGGUUCAUGCCUGUAAUCCCCGCACUUUGGGAGGCCUUGCAAGGCCAGAGGAUUGCUUGAGCCCAGGAGUUCAAGACCAGCCUGGGCAACAAGGCAAAACCCUGUCUCUAUGAAAAUUACAAAAAUUAGCCAGGUGUGGUGGCACAAACCUGUAGUCCCAGCUACUCAGGAGGCUGAGGUGGAAGGAUCACCUGAGCCCAGGAGGUGGAGGCUACAGUGAGCAGUGAUUGUGCCACUGCACUUCAACCUGGGUGACAGAGUGAGACACUGUCUCAAAAUUAAAACAGAUAAAUUAAAAAUAUAGCUCAUACUGGUACCAUGCACCAAUAGAUUUGUCAAAGGUCAGGGCCACCUUCACUCAGAGUCUCUUCCAUUGGUUGCCAACUUGUAAACGAAAAAGUAUGUAAGAUAGGUCUCAGUCAGUUUAGAAUUUUCAUUUUGCCAAGGUUAAGGAUGCACCCAGGAAACAGGUAUAUGUGCCUUUCUCAAAGAUGAUUGUGAGGGCUUCAAUAUUUAAAGGUGAGAAGUGGGCUGGAGGGGAAAGAGGGUGUGGUUAUCCACAUGUUGCAAGAGAAAAGGAGCAGGCAGGAAAACAGUCAAUUAUGGAUUCAUCUCAUACUCAGUAAUAGGCCCUUUACAUAAGAUGAACAUAAGACUAGCUACCUGAGGAGCUAUUUAACCUUCUAUCUGUAGCUAUCUGCUGAGGAACAAAAGGAAAGACAGCUUUUUGCAUGACUCAGCUUUCAGGUUAAUUUUUUCCUUUUGGCAUAGUGAAUUGGAGUCCUGAGUUUUAUUUUCCUUUCCCACCUCAAACCCCACAAGCUUUGCAUUGUUGCAGAUUGUCCCUCUCAGAAUAUUUUACAAGUUGGUGAAGUGCCUAAUGAACAUUUCUUUUGUCAUAAAGUGAGUUUGGAUCCUGAAGAAGCCAUCAUCUUAAUCAGGCUUUGGGAUCAAAAUUCCCCUUCACCCGAACCCUGAACAGCACAGCAGACAGGGAAGGACUUACUGAGAUGGCUGCUCCCACUCUCCAGCCCCCACUUUCCAGACCAUUCCUGGCAGGAAGAGCUGCUGAGCAGACUCCAUGGGCUGCCCACACAGGGUCUGGACCUAGCUGUCUUCCUGUGCCCAGCAGCCUUUGAGCCAUCCCAGGCCCCUAUGUGCAGUGGUCAGCAUCCACAAGCCAGGCUUCAUAGGGAUUCAGUUCAUGGGUGUUGCCCUGAGCCCGGCACAGUGGCCUCCCCAGCUUAGCAUCUGCAGUUCGGGUCAGGGUGUUCUUAACAGCCCUCACCUAUGCCCUUUCUGGCCACACAUGAGUUUGGAUGAAGCAGGAGUCUCUUCCAUAGCUCCUUGUCAACUGAGAUGUCCAUGACUGGCUCAAGUGACCCACAGUGUCAGGAGAGGGGCACGGAAGCUGCACCCUAAAUUCCCUGGGACCUGUGGCAGGCCUCCCCGGUGACCUCUGCCUUCUCAGGUGACUUCUGCCCUCCUGGGUGACAUUAGUUCUCCCCUCUCAAGUGACCUCUGCCCUCCUAGGUUACCUCAGCUCUCCCAGGUGACCUCUGCCUUUCCAGAUGACUUCAGUCUUUUCAGGUGACCUCAGCCCUCCUAAGUGACAUUAGUCCUCCCUGGUUAUCUCUCCCCUCCCUGGUGAACUCAGGUCUUCCAGGGGACCUCUGCUUUCCCAGAUGAUCUCUGCCCUCUCAGAGGGCAUAUUCUCCUCCUAUUACCUCUCCCAAGUGACCUCUUCCCUUCCAAGUGACCUGUUUCCUCAGGUGACCUCAGCUCUGCCAGGGGACUUCUGCCUUUCCAGGUAACUUCUGCCCUCUUGGUGACCUAGUGUGCUCAGGUGACAUUAGCCCUCUCAGGUGACCUCAACCCUCCAAGGUGACGUCAGCCUUGGUGAAGUCUUUCCAGGAUGACUUUGGCUUUUGCCAGAGGUAGCAUAAGCCAUAUCACUGCAGGGGCAUAAGCCAUAUCAUGCCAUGAGCCACUAUCCUGCUCAUGUUCCAGAAUGAGGAGACAUCUGGGUGCUGGCCCAGCUGCUGGCCAAUGAGAGGCUUGCCAAGCAUGGUACUCUCCCAGGUGACCUCUGCCCUCUCAGGUGACACAGUCCUCCCAUGUGACAUUAGCUCACAGUGGACAGCUACCCACGAGGCAUCGCACAGCCAGGACAGGGGAUGGCCACACUGGCUGGGUAAUUGUGACUUACAGACAAGGCACCUUCUGUCCCCUGCUCAUUUUGAGCCUCCAGGAUAUCCCCUGCUGAGAGUCCCACAGGAGCCUGUGACUGGCCAGGGACCCAACACCCCAAGUCAGAUGCCUCUCAUCCCCAUCAGCAAACGGGAUCACAGCUGCCCUGUGACCACCUUCUGCAUCCUGGUGCCACAACCUUCUGGCCCUGACCUUAUACAGGGGACUCUUACAACCCUGCUGGUCCUUCCACCUCCCAGCUGGCCACCCUCCCAACCACCCUCCCUGCCCAUGGCUAGACCAAGCCCAGAUGACAGCUUCUCUCUGUCCUGUGUCCCCUGCCCUGACCCCACAUCCAGGAGAAGGCCACACACCCUCCAGCACCCCUGGUCACCCCACCAGCUCCCACCUGUCCUCACUGCUUCAAAGGCAGGCCUGCCCUUCUGGAACCAUGGCCCAGGAAGCCACUAAGCAGUGCCUCCAGCCAGGCCCCAGGGGCGUUCCCAUCCACAUGAUGGGGUCACUGGAUGGGAGAGUGAAAGGCCUUGGGGUCUGGAAGCAACCACCACUGCCCAACUGCCACUGCCCAACCGCUGCUGCCCAACCGCUGCUGCCCAACUGCCACUGCCCAACUGCCACUGCCCAACCACUGCUGCCCAACCGCUGCUGCCCAACUGCCACUGCCCAACUGCCACUACUCAGCCUGAUGGCUCCACAUCUCAGGAGUAGUCUCUGAUUCCUUGGGGCCCCAGGAGCCUCUCAGGAGUCUACAUCCCAAGAUGUUCUAACUUCCAGAGUCUCCAAGCCCAUCAAGAGCAAGUUUUGCUAAAAGUGUUCUGAGAGCUUAUGAAGCACAUGGACAAGGAAGGGUUGUGCAUCCGGCUUUCCACCUUAAACUGGUUUCUAUGGUGCUUCAUCGAUGGGAUAAGGAUGCAUAGAGAGACCCCCGGCCAGGUACCUUCUUUCCCCACAGUGCUCAGCUCCCCCAGCCCAGGGGUCUGGCUUCCCCAGGAGGACCCAGCUCACCCCCACCCCACAGGAGGCACAGGCAGGUCUCUGCAGGGCACACAAGCCAGGACCUGUCUGAUAGGAGCAUCACACACCAGACACCAGGGAAUUCUGGGCAGACUGGGCCAGGACCCAUCUUGGAAGAGCCAGAGGAGCCAGGGAAGCCACAAGCCCUCAGGAAGCCCCUUAUUCUGGGAGCCACAUUUCUGCUGAGAUGAGUCCAUCCCCAUGAAGAGCUGCUGGACCUUGUCUGACCCAGCCUUAUGGAAGAUGGGGUGGGUCUCUUCCCAAGCAGAAGGAGCCUCAGGAAGUCCAGACUGAGGCUACAGUGGGCCCUGCUCAAGCCACCAGCCCCCAGGCUGGAAAGGCCAGGUCCUCCCAAACCUGCUGUUCCCACAGACUUCCUUCAUGCUCAUCCUGAGGCUCUGGGAUGUCUACCUCCUGGAAGGAGUUUCUUCAGGACACACUGUCCUAGGCCUGGGCCCUGGAGGAAGAUGUGGUGAUGAGGCGCCCUGAGGCCUCCAUGGGGGAGCUGAGAAGCAUGCACUGUGACCUGCACACCCAGGUGGGCUUCAGCGCCAAGUCUUCUCCUGUGUCACCCUGUGGGGCAGUAAAUAGUGGGAAGUGCCCAGACCUCACCAGCCCUGCUCCCUGGGCCUUCCUCCAGCCCCUCCUCUCCCUCCUCCUCUAAGAAGCUUCUGAAAACAGGCUGCCUGGGCCUAGGGCAAAAGCUGACCUUGGGUUUACUGGACAUGCCUCAAAGACAGUGAGAUGUGAGCAAGACUCUUCCAAGCCCCUCCCCUGUACCCUCCUGCUCUCACUCCUGAAAGUCCCAGAAGGACACUGGAGGGGUCAUAUCCAUCUGUGCAAGCCCACAACCACACCUGUGAGUACCAGCAGCCCUGGAGAGCAGCAGGGGCCCUUCACUCCUGAGCACCCCUCCAAGGGCCUAAAAUCAGUGUCAGAGACCCUAAGAGGAUCUAGGGAGAGGGUAUAGGUGAAACCCUGGCCCAGAGCCAGAAUUGAUUGCUCAGCUGAGUGUGGGAACAGUCCAGCCCUGGCAUGGAGAUCCCCCAGAGGAGUGGAGGGUGUCUCACCCACUGUGGAGAUAAGCCCCCAUAUUGGGCGGCAAAGGGGCUAGGUAACAGUUAAGGCCCCAUCCAUCUGAGCUCUGAGUCAAGGCUAAAGCCCAGGCUAAGCAGCCCUGGGGCAAGAGUGUGAGGCAGGAAGACUGAGUCAGCCUGAACCCUGGGGGCUGUCCCUGGAGUGACUUGAGCUUCCCUGACAGCUUCCCCACUCUAGGCUGCACACACACCUCGCUCUGGGAGUAGCAGCCUGCAGGAGUGUCCUCAGCAUUAGACCAGGGGGACCACACGGGGACCCUGAGGACUGCAGGGACCCAGGUCUGUGGGAUCCAGACUGGCAAAAGCAAGAUGUUCUCAAUGGAAAAGCUGACCAAAUCUGCUUUCCUUUCAGCCAAACCUGAGCAAGACCCCCAGCACCCAGGCCUCUGCAGAUAUCCCCCAGCAUUGAGACCCUCCCCAAGGGGAUGGGCUGGUUCUCCCUGGCCCACAGCCCAGCUCCAGCAGCCCAUGGGUGUAGCCCUCCUGAAACAGGAGCCUCAUCCUCCCUUACCCUCACCUGGCUAUGCUGUACCCAAGGCCAAAGCCCAGAGGCAUAAGGGAGCUUCUGCAGAGCCCAGGACAGCAGGCUGCUCUCUGGGGGCCCUGGGAACUCAGAGUGUGGCCAGCCCAUCCCCAGCUCAGGAUAGACCACAGGGUGCUUGGUGAUUCCUGCAUUGGAACGCCCUCUCUAAGCUCCACAUGGACCUGGACCUCAGAGGCCUGUGGUUUUCACAGUAGAGCUUGGAGCAGAGAUGCUAGGCCCCUGUCACUUCCAUAUCUGCCCUGGACACCUCUAAGACCAUAGGACUGGCCUAGCCCCCAAUACCAGACACUGCCCAGCCCCCUGAUAGCCCAGAGGUAGGGCCAGAGACAACUCUCCUGCAUGUGGUGGCUACAUCUGAUCACCCUUGGCAGACGGUGACCAUCAUGGCCCAGAAGGAGCCAGGGCAGCACUUAGCAAGCUGCCCCAAAGCCCCAGAGAGCUCCUUAGACAUGGAAAAGCAAUAUUGAUGGGGAAGCUGGACACUUGGAGGCCACUGGAGGGAAGGGUGAGCAUGGCGUCCCCACAGCCCAGGCCAGCCAGCAGCAUGCACUGCAUCCAUGGUCCCAACCUGUAGGGCAGAACCCCCCUCUCAACACACAAUUCCCAGACCCAGAGGGCCCUAGCCCAGACUCAACCUGAGCCCUGAAAGGGAAGGGGGACCAGGGGUGCCUUGGGCCCCCAGCAGCAGCCAAGAUACACAGGAGAUGGAGCCCCCCGUGGCCGUGGCCAGAACUAGUAUUUGGCUUUAGCGGAGCAAGCCCCCUUGGAGCGCUGCGUACAUACCCAGGCCCUAUGUGUGCCUGGCAAGGCCAAGCUGAUGAUGUUACCAAGCUCAAACUACCACUGGCCACCUUGGUGAGGGUGGGGCAGAAACACGUGGACCAGCCACCAACCUCAUCCAUUCAAGGAAGCAGAAAUGGCCAGGAUCCUGCAGGAUAAGUGGCCACCACCAGACCACCAGUGGGGCGGAGUUCUGAGGCCCAAGCAGAUGGCACUGGGGCCCUGCUUCCAGGGUCCACAAUCUGCUCCAGGACACAAGACUGAAGAAAACUAAGCAAAUGAGAGUCCAGGAGGCUGGAACCCUCAUCUGCCAUUCUUGGCAGUUGUAUUUUGUGGUCAGAAAAAGUCAGGAAACUUGGCGCUACUCACUACAGGAGGCUCCAAGGUGGGACCAGAGCUUCCAGCAUAGAUUCAACAAUGCCUAAGAAAGCCUCUUCUGGGGGAAAAGGACCCCUUCCUUGGCCUCAAAGCCCCCACUUAUUUUGAUUAAAGCACAAUAAAGUCUUUGUUGUUA